CAAGCACCUAUUUUGCACCAGAGUUUACCAUAUGUAAGUCUACCUCUGUUUGUUUUGAUCAGCUCUUCUUCUGAAGAACCCCGACCAUCGAUGGAGCAUGUGCACGAGCGUUCAUGUUCGAGUAGCCGACGUAGGACUGGGAAAUUGGAAGUGAAGGUUCAAAUGAGAAUACAGAUAUUCUUGUCAUUGUGGAUUCGAAAUAUCUCCAAGACUACUAGUGAGAAAUAGUCUCCUGAACAAGUGUAUCAACAUAGUGGUGGAUGGAAGACGGGUUUGUCUAUUGGUAGAACAUGUUUAAGACACAUUUACAACUGGUUUAAGUCUGAACCUCUGAUCAGUAUCCUGAGUGACUCAGCGGUCUAAGGCCCUGCAUCUCAGUGCAAGAGGCGUCACUACAGUCCCUGGUUCAAAUCCAGGCUGAAUCAUCACAUCCGGCCGUGAUUGGGAGUCCCAUACGGCGGGGCACAAUUAGCCCAGCAUCGUCCAGGUUUGGCCGGGGUAGGCCGUCAUUGUAAAUAAGAAUUUGUUCUUAACUGACUUGCCUAGUUAAAUAAAGGUAUAACAAAUAAAAAUAAUAUCUGUAUUGGGAUUAAUAUAAUAUUCAAUGUCCUCCACCAAUCCAUGAAAUGCAGGUUUUCCACCUGAAUUGUGUUUAAAAUGAAGGACUUGACGUUGAAUGUAUUUCCUAAAUGGACCUAAAACAAAUCUAAUCAACUGCAUGAAUAUACAUUAUUAUAUGCCCACACUGUAACUUAAUUAAGG
rnacentral:lncRNA from 1 species